AUACUCACCCCGUGCCGGGGCCUCGUUAAUCACCGAGAACGAGCCCCCAGGACGAGGUGCGGGCACUGCGCUGCACUCGCGUUGACACCUGCCAUUACCCCAGACUGGGGCAGAUGGGGCAUGCAAAUCGC
rnacentral:snRNA from 1 species